rnacentral:lncRNA from 1 species
CGCUGUUGCCCUCUGCCCUCCGACAUCUCCCCUACUUUUUUUUUCUUUUCAAAGUGGAUCUCUACUCCUUUUAUGAUCCUAGUUUAGGACAUGCGAGGCUGCACUCUUUAAUGUAAUUAUUUUACAUGAUAUUACUGCACUAUGACUCUAUGAGUCAAUGUAUGAAUGUAGUUCAAAUUUAUUUUGCAAUACAUAUAGCAAAAUGAUAUUACUGCACUAUGACUGUAUCCGUGGUAGACUAUCUUUCCGUCGUUGUCGCCGCGUCUCGGCCUAUA